GAUGAACGCUGGCGGCGUGCCUAAUACAUGCAAGUCGAGCGACCAGACGAGGAGCUUGUUCCUCUGACGUUAGCGGCGGACGGGUGAGUAACACGUGGAUAACCUACUUAUUAUACUGGGAUAACUUCGGGAAACCGGAGCUAAUACCGGAUAAUAUAUUCAACCGCAUAGUUCAAUAGUGAAAGACGGUUUUGCCGUCUCUUAUAGAUGGUUCCGCGCCGCAUGAGCUAGUUGGUAAGGUAACGGCUUACCAAGGCAACGAUGCGUAGCCGACCUGAUGGAGUGACCGCCAACCGUGGACCGGAGACCGGGCCCAGACUCCUAGGGGAGGCAGCGUGAGGGAUUCUUCCGCAAUGGGCGAAAGCCUGUCGAAGCAACGCGGCGUGGGUGAUGAGGGUCUCCGGUUCGUAAAACUCUGUUAUGAGAGAAGAACAAAUGUGUAAGUAACUAUGCACGUCUUGACGGUACCUAAUCAGAAAGCCACGCCUAACUACGU
rnacentral:rRNA from 1 species